rnacentral:lncRNA from 1 species
UGUUUGCCUUACCCAGCACUGACUCAGGGACCUGUUUCCCCAGGAUGUGGGCGCGGCCAAUUGCACCCCAGCAUGGCUGGCUCAGCCGAGCGCCGCCGAGGAAGCCAAAGCCCUGGCUGAGCAGCAGCAGCGACUGAUGCCAGAGAUGCCAGAAAGCACAGAGGAGAGGAGAGACUGGCGCUGCCCUGCCAAGGAAGAGUUGUGUGUGCAUGGCGCAGAGGAGCAGCUUAAACUCGCCACGGGGACCAGCGAAGAGCACAGCUGCUUAUUCUGUGUGGAGACCCAUGUGCUUCCUUGGCCGGAAGGGAAGGCAGCAAAGCCUAUCUGUCUGGAGGCCGGGCCCACAGACACUCUAUUGUCCAGCCCAGCAGAGAGGAGCCCUGUGGGAGGCCUGCCGCAAGGUGCACUCGUCCCUGUGCAGAACCAGCUGUCCCCUGUCAAACAGAAGCAGCCGCACAACUGCUGGCUUGAAACCUUAGCCCCAUGGUUUCGCUCGGGCCUGAUAUUCCUUCUGCAUCAGCCACAGCCCCACCUCCUUCCCAGCCGCCUGCUGCUGGCCCUGCUUGUGACACUCCUCCUGCUGCCAGCGCUGUGCUAUCUGGUGCUGCCCAGCUGGACCAUGGCCACAGGGCUGGCGUGGCCACACCUCCAGCUGCGGUACCUCAGGCCCCCACCUGUGUGA